CGGGGCUGCUAAGUGACUGGACAGCGCGGGGCCGGGAGGGGGAGGGGGGCACAAACAUGGCGGCUCUGGGGCCGGCGGAGGCGGGAAGGGAGAGGAGCCCGGGCUCAGGGCAGGCGCAGAGCAGAGGGACAUUUCGGAGGAAGGGCGCAGGGUUGAAAAUACACCCAGGGAGAAACAGGAGCCGGGCGAGAGAAAAUCAACCACCACUUCCUUCCUCCACCGCCAGGCCUCAGGAGUCGCCUCCCCCCUGGUUCUUCGCCUUUCGGGGGGCCUCGCCUCGGCACCGGGGUUACUGGCAGCCCCGUUUGCUGUCACUGGUCCCUGGUGUUCGGAAAGGGGGCUCGAGGGCAGGGAAGGCGUUGGGCGCCUGCCGGGGACGGGACUUUUCGCGCCUCUGGUCCGCUGCUGCCAGUGCCCUCCUGUGCACACAGCUCAGUGCCCGUGUCCUGGCUCCUCAUGCUGAAAAUCUGGUCCUGCCACCCACCGGCCCCGCAUCUACCCUGCCUCAGCUUCCACCUUCCCUCUCCUCCUGGUAGCCCUUUGACUGGCUGCGGAGCAGGAUCUUGUGUGCUGAGGGUGGAGUUCACUUUUGUGCAGAGCUCCAGCACAAGGAUUAUGCACACAGGCCCUGUACUACUGCUUUGCACGAAGCAUCUACUGAACUGAUCCUAUGCAGACUCAUUGAGGAACCGCCAGUCAUCAGUAGUCUCUGAAACAACAGCAGUGCCUAUGGAUAUUCUGACCCAUUCCUUCUGAACUUGGUUCUCAAAUUUCCUAAAAAGCAUCAUGGAAGGCAAGCUACAUCCUGCUCCUCAAACAUAGGAUCCAGUUUGCACUUCUUGUUUUUGAGAGAAUAUACCAAAGAAGAGUUCUGGAACAUUCUUCAUGAGAACAUGAACGAAGUCCCAAUGCGGGUCAUCUGGGGAAACGAAGAUCAGGUAUUUUGGUUAAUACAGGAACUGAUACUCUCUGUAGCUGUGGGAAUGGAAUAUGAACAAGAACAAUUAUUCAUAACUUUAAGGAGUGUUUAGAUUGCUGUGCAUUUUAUUUCCCAGAAUCGUCACUAUCAUGAGGUGGCAUCGAAGCAGUUAGAAAUAGAGUGAUUCAAAAAGAAAAAAGGUGACACGAGAUGAGGUUUUGAGUUUAAGUAAAUCCGAGGCUUGAAGGAUGUCAGACUGGCAGCAAAGGAGUCACAAUGACCUCGUGACUGAAACAGGACUGCUGGAGGCAGCGCUAGCUUUACCGUGCUGCCCCGGCGCUCUGCCUGGAGCUUCACUUGGAGGAGCUGAGCAGUCUGAACUCCCUCAAGUCGUGUCUCCUUCUGAAAGUGCCAAGAUUAUCAGUUAUGAAUGUGUUCUGCAUACUAGGAGCUAGACGUGAGAUCACAGACUCAUUUCCCAUAGAUCAGCCAUCAUUGAUACCAAGGACUGUAGUGACAGAAUGCAAUGUGAUCUAGAGCAGAAAGGUUGCUGGUCUCGUCACUAGUCCACUCAGCCAUCCUGGCCACUGAUGGAAUUAUAUAUUGAACUGGCUGAUGUCUCUCUAAGCCUGAAUAAAGAAAAGGAGUACUUGUGGCAGUACUCCUUUUUGCGAAUACAGACUAACACGGCUGCUACUCUGAAAUAAGCCUGAAUAGCACAGCAUUGAUCCCUAUGGAUAGAAACUCCUAUCUGCAAAACAGAGAGAGAUUCAGUGAAGUAGCUUAAUAAUGGGGAAAUGUUGGUCCUGCCCUUACUAGGGGCAGAACUCUGCUAGCUACAUUUAAACACAAGGGGUGUUAAAAUAGCAGGGUUCUUGCUUUACUACCCUGAUCUGAGUGUUCAAAGUGUUAUAAACCUGUGUUACAGCCUGCCUGAGGGGAUAGGUAUCAGAAGGGGGGAAAACAGGGUCUGGUUUUCAGAAGUGUUCUGCAUCUACAAUGCCAGUUUAAAUUUAUGCUCAGCAUUUCUGAAAAAUCAGGCCUAAAAGAACCCAGCCUGCAGAGGGAAAAAGCACCAUUUUUAAGGGGAGAAAAUCUUGUCUAGAGUCAGCACACAGUGUUAGAGCACUGCUAGCAUCAGCCAUUCUGAUCAGGGUUGGAGCUAGCAUUGUUCCGAACACUGUGUGGAUAAGGACUAAAUGUUCUCAUUACUUAACUAUUAUGAACUUCCUGUGGGUAGAUAAAGGAAAUAAAUGAGUUGCUAGCUGAAGCAUCUGAUGUGAGGAACAAAUGCUUGUCACACAUAGUAUCCUACUCUGCUACCCAAAUGCAUAUAAGAUAAAUGCAGAGAUUUUUUGCCCCAAAAGGGUCACGGUCACAGAGUCACAAAUAACUUUGUACCCUGAGGCGAAGACUUCCUAUAGUACUUAACCCUGUUUCUGUCAUACAAGUGCUGGCUGUUUCUGGAGUGGCUGUUUCAAGAAACUCCAUUCCUGUCACAUCUACAUUCCAGACAAAAGCGCAUCUUGGAGUUUGUGGAUCUGGUGGAUAAUACAAAGGACAUUAAGAAACUAGCAUGAACUUCAGGAGAGUUGCAAGAAGUAAAGUCUGAUUCUGUUCUGAAAAGUAACCAUAUAAAUGGCAUACGGUGCUCUAUUUGUCUCCAGAUUUCUAAACAGAUGUGCUCAAUGUACAGGCAGAGAUAUUUAGUUCUUGCAGAUUCAAUCUGGUAUCUGAGAACCCAGCUGCUCCCUCUGCUUCUCAUACAUUACCUGUAAUAAAGGUCCCAAAUUAGGCCCUGUACAAACCCACAUCAUGUCUUUACAUGAUGCCAUCUGAAUCACCUGUGCUAACUCAGUGCUUUCAGUGGAGUUACACAGAUAGGGCUGACUAAAUAUUAGUAAACUCUUCUGCUGAAGAUACAUAAAAGGAAUAGGGAUUGCUCCCUCUGAGCAUGUUUGGCUUUGCAGGGCUGACCAGAGGGGAAAAAAAAAAAAAGCUGCAAAAUGUUAGUUUAGUUUAGUUCAGUUCUUAAAGUCAGCAGCUGUGUCUAAAUAUGUACCUGGAGCAAAUCAGCUGAGCAAACAUGGCACCUUCUCACAGCCGCUUCUCAGACUAGGACCACACGUUAAUUUAGAAAAUUCUGCUGCUCUGAAAAGCUUGUGGGAGUUCUUCUACAAAAUGUGACAGUGCCAGAGUUUAUGCAGCUCAUGUGAUCUCAUCUUCUGUAUCAAAAUUUUAUCAACAUUUGUAAGUGUAUAGCAGACCCAGGCAGAUUUAAGAUUCUCUUAAUUUUUAUAACCAUCUAGGCAAUAUGAUAGACCUUGUCAUAAACAUACAACUAAGGGUAGCAUAAAAUCCCUCCUUUACCUGUAAAGGGUUAAUCAGUGCCAUUAACCUAGUUGGCACCUGAACAGAAGGACCAAUGGGGAAAGAAGAUACUUUCAAAUCUGUGGGGUGGAGGGUUUUUGUUUGUGCUUUUGUUGUUCUCUCCGGAGACAAAGAGAGAGACCAAGCAAGUAAUCCAGCUCCUACUGAAUGAUACAUCUAAAAUUACAGAAGUAGUAAGUAAUAGCAAGGAAAUGCAUUAGAGUAUCUUUUGUUUUAGCUUGUGAAUUUUCCUUAUGCUAAGAGGAAGGUUUAUUCCUGUUUUUUUUUGUAACUUUAAAGUUUUGCCUAGAGGGGAAUCCUCUGUGUUUUAAAUCUUAUUACCCUGUAAAAUUAUCUUCCAUCCUGAUUUUACAGAGGUGUUUCUUUUACUUUUUUUUUCUUUAUAAUAAAUGUUCUGUUUUUAAGAAUCUGAUUGGGUUUUUAGUGUCCUAAAAACCCAAGGAUCUGGUCUGUACUCACCUUUACUCUCAAGCCUCCCCAGGAAAGAGGGUGAAGGGCCUGGGGGGCAUAUUUUGGGGAAACAGGAACUCCAAGUGGUCCUUUUCCUAAAUCUUUGUCUAACUCACUUGGUGGUGGCAGCGAUACCGUUCCAAGGACAAGGAAGAAUUCGUGUCUUGGGGAAGUUUUUAACCUAAGCUGGUAGAAAUAAGCUUAAGGGGUCUUUCAUGCGGGUCUCCACAUCUGUACCCUAGAGUUCAGAGUGGGGAGGGAACCCUGACAGACCUGAAGGAAUAAAAAUACCUAAAGUCUCAAACUAGAAAAUUUAAGAAUAUGUAAGAAAUGUGGUAAGAGGAAAACUUUUCUGGAUUGAGAUUUUAGGAUUUUUUAUUCCUUCGGGUUUAUCACAUUGCCUAGAUGGUUAUAAAAAUUGUUGAGAAUCUUAAAUGUCUGGAACAUCAGAAAAGUACUGCUUAUAUCAUUAUGUCAUAUGGAAAGAACUGUGUAUGAAAGGAAGACUUGCAGGAGAAUACUAACUCUGUACGUGUGGUGAAUGAAAUGGAUGCCCAUAGUAAAGAAACAAUGUUCUGCAUCUUUAAAUUUGUUGAGAACUGUUAGAUUCAGAGAUAUACUGCAUCAAAGCCAAGCCCAUUUAAAAGAAAAAGAGCAUCUCUGCCUUUGUUGCCCACAGUGUAUUUAUCAUGGAGCAUUCAAUAUUUGUCUUUCUGAAGCUGAAAGAGCAGCUUAACUUCAGGAAAAGCCAUCUGUACUCAGCUGUGUCUGAGGGGAUUUAUUCCAGAACCAGUGAGUAUUUCUUGUCCUCAACAGCCUGAAACAAAAUUGAAGAUGAGACUGCAGCACCCUACACCUUCAGUGCCCAGUGAAUUUCUUGUAGCUGCCUCAAGCCAUGUUACGUACCAAGUAUUUGCAGGGAUGUUUCCAUGUUAAAAAGGGCACUUUACAUAGUUAAAAUGGCCGUGUCAACUUGGGAGGAAAUGUAAUUUUCAUAACAUGCAGAUUUGGCCAAAACAGUUGAUUUUAACCUCACAGAUUUAAGGGACAGUAGUUCUGAUAACCAUUCGUUUACAGUAUCAGUAUACUGUAGAUGUUAACAGUUCUGCAGCUGUGGCAGAAGAUUGGUUGUGCUUGACUGUAAUCUCAAUUUACAAGAAGUGCAAGGUGAUGAACACGAAUACAUUUCCGACCUGGAGUAACCUUGGGCAGCAUGAACUCAUUUGGGGAUGGGGUGGAGUUGAGACAACAACAGAACAGGGACAUACUCAGAAAAGUGAUAAACAGUUCUAGUCCCUCAUGCUGGGCAAAAAAAAGCCGUUUUCUACAUUUUGUAGUGGAUCCUUUCUCACUUUGUAGUGAUAAAGCAUAAAAGAUUCUCUGUACAGAGCAGUGCACCGUUCACAAGUGAUCUUCAGUACAAACUGCUCUGCACCAAAACACUGAUCCACAUAAGGGAGCUAGAACUUUAUCAGGAUGGGAGAAAAAUGGGUCACUUUUGCCUUAACUAAGUUCAUGAUUUAGGCCUGGUGUGCACACAAUUCUUGUACUGAUUGAGCUACUGCAGUUACAGGGGGGCGUGAUUUUUCUACUGAGAACUUCAUCGGUACAACCCCUAGCGUGGAAGUAGUUGCAUCAGUGUAGAGCAGGGGUUCCCAAACUUGGUUUGUGGCUUGUUCGGGGUAAGCCCCUGACAGGCCGCGAGACACUUUGUUUACCUGAGCGUCCGCAGGUACGGCCACUCACAGUUCCCACUGGUCGCAGUUUGCCGUUCUCAGCCAAUGGGAGCUGCGGGAAGCAGUGGCCUGGCCUGCACCACUUCCCACGGCUCCCAUUGGCCGGAAAUGGUGAACCGCAGCCACAGGGAGCUGGAUGGCUGUGUCCAUAGAGGCUGCACACAUACCCUUGUGGAUCCAACUGCUUGGCCCAGGAGAUGCGACUUACUGUCCUGUAGCUCCUUUCCACAUGACCAGAACCUAUAUGUGCCAGGAUUCUGCUGUUGGGGAAUUUCCUGCAGAACCUUUCCCUUGCUGUGGUCUCUCUGCUUUCAUGAAAGAACAAUUAUUUAUGUAGGCCUCUUCCUGCCAAAGAAAGCCUUCAAAAACACAAACCAAAAAUAACUGCUGCAGUGCUGUCUUCCUUGAGUCUGCAGCCAGCCUGAAACAAUGGCAGAGAUCUGUCCCCAUUUGCUGCAGUGGGGGUAAUAAUGCAAAUCUUAACAUCUUGCUGAUAUGCGGAUCCCAGAUGACAAGUGUCUAAGCAUCACCUGCACAGACAUCAGUAAACUGUUGAUCUGCUUGGUGCCAAGGGAGCCUCAGCUCCAUGCCGCUUGUUUUCUUGGGCUGGGAGGUUUCUCUCCCCGCUCGGUUCCAAUGGAGAGGGAUUCGAGUGCUCAGAAGGUGUGGGGUUCUUCCAAACGCCUAGUGUCUUGGCAAGCUUCGGAUCCGAUCUUUAGCUCAUGCCUUGGUUUGGGAGACAGAGUCCCUAGUGGAUGCACUUCAGUACAUUUUAGUGACACUGACCUGAACAGUUCCUAGCUUCCCAAUGCUGACAUGGGAAGCAAACCCCAGAGACAUGACACAUUUAUUUCAUCCAAAGCCCCUAGUGAAUUUGCUAAGGCACUUUCCAUUUUGAAAGUUGAUCAGUGUCCCAUGGAUACACCAGAAUUCUCCCAAAUCUAUACAUUUAAAGCUGUAUAUACAGUUUAAGAGGGUUAAAAUAAAACCAGCUCAGCAAAAGCAAAUAUGCCAUCAUGCUGGGUGUUCAGAUAGUAAACUCUCCAGGUCACACAGCACAUCUUUUGUACUGGAUGUUUACUUGUUUCCUUUAAAGGUUUUGUGUUAGUUUUGUUAAAGAAACAGACAGCCACAGCUCAGCACAUACUAUGUGUCAGCCACAAAUGCAGGGCAGCUAACUUUAGAAACUUAUCUCAUCUUAAAACUAGUUUUGUUCUCCUGCAGAAUUUGUUUUAGGACAAUCUAUGUUUUGCACAGUGCUCAACACACCAACAGUACUCAAAUAAUAAAUCAGAAAGCCAGUUGCACCAUUUUACUAUGUAGUGUGGCAACAACAGCAUAGGAGCUGGUUUUAUCCAUAGCAAUAAUAUCCAAAUACAGGUGUAAUCUUAAUGCAUCAAUAGGGUCCUCUCACCAAAUAGUAAAAUUCUGUGGUUGGGGAAUUUUGUAACUGGUUUUAUUGUGUCAGGGAGAGAAUACCAUUUUCAGCAGGCCCCUGAGAGUACUAACUAUAGUGCCUCCAACAGUCCUCCAAGUAAGGCUUUCUCCUUUGUCACUAGACAUACACAGCCACUUCAUUACAUAAAUGCUGUGGGGGGCUGUGUCAGCUGGAAUAAGUUAACACACACACAGGAUUGUACCAGGAAGGCUGGACACGACAUGUCAGCAUUUUAUUAACCAAAAGUGAAGCUGAACCCCAGAAUGAUUUUUUUUUAAAAAAACCAUAAGCUUAUAUGGCAGGUAUUUUUCCCUCCCGCUGUCAACACUACAGUGCAAGAAUCGAUCUCUCUGCAAUCACUCAUCCUUUGAGAAUCAAAUACUAGUUGUAAAAUGAGUUAAUAAAAUAUGGGUCUCCCAAUGAAUCAAUAAAAAACAUUUAACUCAAUGCAACAGACCAAUUUGCAAAACCAACUUAUGGAAUUCUCCCAGGUGAAAGACCUUAAAGCACUUGGAGCCUUGAGGUAGCAUCUUUAUGCAGAAUUCAAUUUUUUUUGAGUGGAGGAAAAUAUUGGUAGCACAUCUUUAGCUCCAGCCAGGCUAAGUGGAUUUCAGUAAUUCUCUUAUGAGGCUAGUGGCUUUCUUUUGCAUCUUUAAAUACUGAUAUUCCAUUAUAGCCUGUAAAGAGAGAAAUUACAAGGAAGGCCUCUUGAAAUAAAGCAUAUGGUUGAAGUGACUGAAAACAGAAGUAACUGUAAUAACAACAAAAAGUAACUGGAGUGAAAAAACCCAAAACAUCUGUAUUUUGGCAAGACUGGUUUACAAAUACAUGUCAAGAACCAGAGUCCCAACAUCAGCUAACUGAAAAGGAAAGAGAAUGGAAGGUGACAUUCAAAGGGGUUUUUCUUUUUUCCUCUGUGCAAAACUGCACUUUGUUUUUUUUUUGUUUUUGUUUUUUUAAAAGACAGCUUUUUUUUUGUACAUUGUGAAACCUGUGCUGUGACAUUAACCAGAAAUACCAUAUGCCAGGACACUUGACCACUGAAAGCUCCUCUCACUGACUUCACAACAAUCACAAGCAGAGAAUCAGAAAUAAGAUAUUUCUCCUAAUCUCAAGAUCAUCAUCCUCUUGCCCACUUUGCUGCUGAGGUCUCUUAUUAAACUAGAGCUCUCUCCACUACCAGUUGCUGGGAAUCCAUGGCAGAUUUACUGAACACAGAGCAAUACCAACAGAGAAACUCACACAUCCAUUAGAGACAUUAAAACAAAAGUGGCUGGAGUAAGACAGGGAUGUGGUGAUGUAGCUGAAUCACUAUUGGCCAAUGUCUCAAAGUCAGUUCUCACUCUCUCUUUUCAAGCAUUCUUUGUCCUUUAUUGAUACUCUGGCUGGCUAGCCAAAGGUGCCAUUGAGUAACAUUCUAUAGGUCACCUCUCCUUAUCUUCCUGUCCCCACUCCCCAAAAGACUACAAAGCAAAUUGGUUAAAACAAACCAGACCAGCCAGGCAGAUCCCAAAGAUGGACUUUAAACUGAUGAUCCCCCACCCCCUGCCCUUAGAGGCUCAUUCUCUCUGCUCAAAGUUCAGUUGCUCACUUGCAUCAUACUACAGUGUCCCAUCUGACAUUGGGUGUGACACGGCUGUGUGUGAUAAUUCCACUCUACUGCCUGCAAGGAGCAUAGAGAUAGAUAAAAGUUUGUAAAUCUGUUCCCUCAUCUGGGACCACUAGCUUUCUGAGUCCAUAGCCUCAUGUUCCCUCCCUCUGCCUUCUAAAUCUAUUAAAAUCCUUCCAUGCAGAAUUUCCAUAAGGCCCUAAGGGUGUCCAGUAGACCUUGCUUCCUUUUGGCCAGGCUUCAGUACAGUUUACCAGGUUUGCAUAUUCUGAGGCACCGAGUCCUAUAAUGCAGAGAACUGAAAGUUGUAAGCGUAGCCAAAUGUGCUUUACUCCGGUGGAUACAAGGGAGGGGCAUCUGAGGAAGUGUUUGUAUGGGAAGGACCAAAGCUGGUUGAGGAUAGUUAUUCAGAGAGAUUUCUUUAGUUCAUGUGACAGCUUAAGCUGUACGGAAACUCAGAUGGGUUUGGAGACCAGCUUGUGUCUGGAUUGCCUGGACAAUCCACAGCUGGCCUGAUUUGAGAGCCUGAGUCUGCUUCUGAAUCCUGAUCUCUCAGUUAUCAGCAUGAGGACCUGCCAACUGUUCUUUUUUUAAAAUUCUACAAUUAAAAAGAAAGAUUGAGUGUUUUUAGUGUUAAACCUCAGAAACAUGAAUGAAAUUCCAGUUCCUGCUGCUUUUUUAGCCUUGCAGAACUGAACCUGUACAGUAAAAUAGGAGAAACACACUGUGUGUGGAGGCAGUUACAAGAGCAACUAGAUAACAGCAUCAGGGCUGUAACAGUGAGGCACGCCUUGUUCAGUGGUAUUCAUUACAAACCAGUCCAUCAUCUGAAAGCAUAAUGCAAUCUACUGUAACUAGACAACAACAGUACACACUCAACCUGAUACGGAUCCCACUUUACAGAACAGUGCAGGAGCUGGAAGGAGUGAGGAAAAUAUUACAGGCUAGAAGCCAACUCCGUGUUGUAGCUCUGCACCUUCCACCUUGUUAGAGCAGAUUUCUAGUGUGCUAACAAGCAGGAAUUCACAGUUGUAGUAUUCUCUCCCCUUUCUCAGGUGAUCAUAAAAAUUAAAUAGUGGGUUCAGUUCUACCCAUCAGAGUCUGCAAUUAAAAUUUCACCAUCCCAGAAACAUGUAGGUAAGUUUCACAUAAAUUUAGAACACUGAAAAUGGAAAGGGGACCACUAGACUUAUUACCUACAAAUUCAUUGCCUUUUCUUUAUAUAAAUAUUAUAUUUUAUGCCAUAAAAAGGGUCCCCCUGAAGGUCGGAGUCUCAUUUAGAUAAUACUCUGAUAAAAUCUCAGCAGGAUGUGCCUUAAGGUCAAUAGAUCUAUAGAAAUAGAAGUCUUCCUAAUAAACGCUGCAGAUCUGACAAAUAAAUAUCUUUAACUGAAUUAUUACCUAAAGCAAAAGACCACUCCAAACACACCAACUGCCUAGUUAGCAAAGGCAUUUGCUGCAUGAAGUCAAAUGUUGCUAAUUUCUGAAAGAUUUAACAAACAGACUUGGCAUUUGGAAGUAUCUAAGUGCCUAAUCAAGUUAAAUAAUAUUACAAAAUAUUAGAAUUGAGGGGAGCUGCUUAAGUACAUAAUUAUUAUUCCUUUAAAUUACAAAAAAUUAACCUCCUUAAAAAGAGAGUUUUAAAACUGAUCCAGACAACAGCAAUGCCCUGUGAAAUCUAGCAGUAUAAAGGGUAUCUAAGCAGGAGAGGGUCAUGUGCUGCAACAUCUCAGCAGUAAAAUCUGCCCCCUUUAAGAAAUGGAGAGCAAGUUUAUGGGGAUGAUACAGCUAUGGCACCUUCAGGCCACUGGAGCUGUUGGACGACUAUCAAACUCUCUGCAUAUGUGGUAGCAUAAAGAACGAAAACAAUUCUUUUUACUGGUCAGAAAAUGUUCAGAGUCAAUCAUUCUUCAUUUUCUGCAUUUCAGUAUUGAGCAGUUAUUUCUUUCUUGUGCCCCCAGCUUUGCUUAUAGUUUUAUUACAGAAUUGCAGUACCUGCAGCUUUCAGCAGAUGGCAGGAACACCUCAGUGCCAACUUAUUCAAUGGCUCUGAUAAUUUCAAGUCCCCUUGAUAUAUUCAGCAUCAAACCCAAAUGCUACAAUUACAUUUUUGACACUCUGUAAAGGAAGUGUCAAAGGAAGAUAUUAAGAGACUGUAAAGAGAAGGCUGCUCCCUGGGGGAAGAUAAGCAGCCUGCCAUUACAAAUCUGCUCUGAAGAUUUGCCACAACAAUAAAAUGAGAAAAAAAAGGAAGGUUCUGUAUCUUUUACACUUUGGGUUUUGCAUCAGGCACUUAUAUUGUUGGAGAGACAUGCCAUUCUGAGCCAAACAAGUGAGAGAAGGGUUAGAAUCAUCUUUAAACUAAGCCUAAUAAUGAAAUUUCAGCAGCAAAGUGGAGGCAUGGAGUGAGCCUCUCCCCAUCCAUCUGUGCUGAGACUUAUUUAUGGUUUCUAAAAUGCCCAAGAAGACAGCAGCAGUAACUGUUCUGUAGUGUCCAUUUUUCCUUAUGUGUUGUGUUGCUGAGAGGAGGCUUUUCUGUGUCUUGAACUGAGAAGGCACUAAGGUACCCUGUGCCUAAUUCCCUGGAUCCAACAGGUCCAUGCUUGUACCAAACAUUGCCACCAGCUGCUCCUCAUAAUGUGUUAUAUUCCUCUUCAUAAUGUCCAUGCAGGGGCCAAGCAGCCUCUCGAAUGCUUGCACAUCCAUGACUACACAGAAACAAAUAGAAGAGUGAAAACAAAUAAAGAGCUGCCCUGCAAAAUAAAGCAAUAAGCCAAUCCGAAUUACUUUCUAAAACUCAUGUAACUUGAGUCCAGCCAACAUGGUUCUAAUGUUUCAGUGGAAGCCACUCACACUGAAGUCAAACUUCUCAUUUUACAAAGCUGUCAUGCUGAUCCAGGAGACUAAUAAAAAUAAAUGUCAGAUCCUGGCAUAAAUCUGGAGGCCAAAUGCAAAAAACACACAGCUGCAAUACAAGCAUGACUGAAAAAUCUCUGUCAUGUGUAACAAACAUCUUUAGAGGGAAGGAAAUCAAGCUGAAUGGAGGUUGUGCUUUUUAUGCUACCAUGCUGCGGAUACACACUUGACUCUAUGACUUCCCUUUUCUGGAAUAGUGGAAGCCAGGCACAUAAAGGAAGUAACGUACUUAAUCUCCAUUGGGCACUUACGCCAUCCCCAGUCAAAACAGAAAUGGUACAAAGAAAGGCAAGAUGAAGGAAACAAGGGUUCCCAUACUGAAGUGCUGAAGGACCCUUACAGGCCAAAACUCCUGGCCUUGACUGAAGAACAAGCAGUCCAGUUUGGAUGCCAGUUAGAAUCUACAUGGCUGUACAACUUAAUGGAAUAGCAUAGACAACAUGAAGCGAUUGGGCAUUGCUUGAAGGCACCUACUGCAGAGAGAUACCUAGCAGCACAAAGUACCCUUACCUAAACACUUGACAUCCCCAACAGCAUAGGCAGAGGCUGCUCUGGGUUUGUUGGUAACAAGUGCAAGCUCUCCAAAAUACUGUCCUUUCUGACACCGGGCAAUCUCCACUUCCUGGUUAGCGUCCUUACUUGUCAUAGUCUGUGCCAGAAAUAGAACAAUAAGCAAAGUGACUAUUUUAAUCACAAUACAGUGCUAUGCAUACAGCUCUCUCUGAACAGAAGAUCACAGCUGGCAGAGAAAUGCUUCAGUAAUGGCCCAGUAUCCUGUGCACAGGGUCUCCAGAAUAUUCCCUAACAAAGAUUUUAAGUAUAACAUACACAAGGCUCUGCCCAGUAAAGAUUGCCUCAAACCGGGAGAACUAUUUGUUUGAAAGCAAGACUCCAGUUAAAAGAAGUCACAGAAGGGCAAAGGGUUAAAAAGAUGCUGUACUUUGAGUAUCUGUUGACUGUUGCCUACUACAGUCCCCCCUAGGGAAGACUGUAUCCAUGUUUGAAGCUUGGAAGGAAACAUCAUGACAAUUUGCACAUGUGCAGAUGUAAGCAAAGCAUGUUUCUCAAAACAGACAUGCAUCAUCUUCAGAAUCGGUUUUUGAAAUAGCUUGAAGUGACUUUGGGGAGAUGUACAGCCUGCCUUGCCCAGCUAGAAACAAUAACGAUCAGAUCUUCAAAUAAUCCGAGAGUUCGUCUGUUGUACAGUACAGCACUUUUAUUAAGAACAUAGAUCAGGCCGAGAAUCCAUCGAGCCCACUGUCCUGUCUAACCCUAUCCAGUACCACAUGCUUCAGGAGGAAGGUCCUAUGAUGAGAGGGUAUUUUUCUUUUUAGACCCCCCCCCCCGAAGAUGUAGAUUGAGCAGGGCUGCCUACAAUGAUGCCCAGGACUUUUUUAAAAUUUAGAACACAGCAAUAGCAUGAAAUGGUUCAAAUUUUUUCCCUUCAGUGUUGACUUGCAUUUGUCAACACUGAACGUAACCUGCCAUUGUGCUGCUCAUUCACUUUGUUAGGUCCCUCCGCAACUUUUCACUCUUCUGUAAUCUUUAUUCACCUACAUAACUGUGUCAUCUGCUGGUUUUGCCAACUCACUGUUCACUAUUUUUCCCAGCGCAUUGAUAAAUAUAUUAACCACCACUGACUCUAGUAUGGAACCAUGCUACACCUCCUCUCUAUUAACCUUUGUCUAGAGUGAAAAUUGACCAUUUAUCUCUACUUUUUGUUUCCUGUCACUUAGUUUCUAAACCACGAUAGCACUGGACUUCUCACCCCAUAACUGUAUUUCAACUCACCUUGCUUUUAAUCAAGAUUUUUACUUCACCAGACUCUACAAUGUAAAAGCUGUCUGCUUUAUCACCCUAUAAAGAGAAAAGACCCCUGGACUCUGAUUUGCAGAAACUUGGAGCACUCACAGGUGCAACUGAAGUCACUUAGAAAUGUGCUUUGAACAUAUGAAGCGUUAUACAAUGUUAAGUGUUGUGAGAAAUCAAGUCCUAUGCGUCUCAGACUGGGCAACCAAAAUUAGUGAACAUAGUGCCUGGCAUGAUGGGGUCCUGGUCUAUGAUGCUAAGAUAAUACAAAUACAACAACAACAGAGUAUAAGCAGGCCAAGCAAUCCAGGAGGCCAUAGAGAUUCUUUCUGUCAUCUGGUCUUAGCACCCUUAGUUGGCUGGUGUUGGUGGCCUGUGACAUAGAGCAGUGCUAUUCAAAGUGGUGGUCCGUGGACCGGCAGCCAUCAGCUGCUGGUCUGCGCGCACAUUGGGAAAAAAAAUUGCCGGUCCCCCACAUCAGACAGCUUGAGAAGCACUGACAGAGGGUGUCAGAAGAGAGGAGCUCGUGGUCCCUCUAGACUUUAUCUAGAACUCAGACACUGCAGAAGGUUAGGUGUCAUUCAGACAGCCCAAAUGUCAAUCCAGCUAUUUCAUUUCACACAGUUUUGCAAGCUAUUAAGGCAUUAAAAGAUCUGUGCACCACAUCUAUGUUGGAAAAAAACAUUUCUACCUUAAAAGAAACAAGCUGAGUGGGAAAUGCAAGGAUUUCAACUAGGAACUAGAUAAUGCUAACAACUUUCAAAUGCUUUAAAGAUAAUGUUACUCUUAGCUGAAUGACCAAAUUAAUGGAAAAUGAUUUUUUAAAUGUAAAAUUAUUUGGUAAGAGAGUGUGCAUGGCACUGACAUGACUCCUAGCAUACAAGACUUUUCCAGGCACUAAAUCUGAUCCACUGUUGAAGGUGUACAAAAUACAUCAUAUCCCAGCUGCCCACAUAAAUUCAGAUCACUAAUCCCCUAGGCAAUAUCUAAGGAACGUUUUAUAUACUUUUCCUAAGUUCUGUUACUUGUGGAGAUUAAAAGUGCUGCAUAAUUGGAUCAAUGACUGCAUGUGAUCCCAAACCUGACAUCUCAGCGUGGGCUUUUUGCCUUUGACUCUCCGUUUGCCCAGAGCUCACUCUUCUCAGGCCCCCAAGCAGGAGGGUUUUUAUCUUGCAAAACAGAGUGGAUUUUUGGAUGGAAUUAAUUGGCUUUGUUUGGUUAUUAAAAGGCUAGGUUCAUUUAUUCAAAAUUAUCUGUCACUCAAAAUAAUUAAAAUUAAUGUAUGCUGAAGACAUCAUCGAUGAUUCUUGGUCAGAUUUUUACUAGUUAGACUCAAUUCAGUUAGAUAAUUUCCUGAUGACCUAAUUCAAGUGUUAUACAAAUCACUGCUGCUGAAUUGUUUUAGAUUUUGAUAGGAACAAGAUCUAAAAUUUGUCAGAGAUCAUUUUACUAUUUAUCCGCCCUUGUUUCAUCGGGCUACACUGUGCAUUUAAAAGGCUCGUUGUGAUUGUCUAAGACGUCUGCUGUUUUCAGGAAGAUGAGGAACUUCAUGGAACUCUGUAUCAAUAGGGAUCUUUCCUUAGUGUUUUUUCUUAAUCACCCAAAUAAGAGUCAUUAAUUGUAUUGUACUUCCUGUAUAACUUUUGAUAAAAGGCUUUUUUAAAAUAUUCACAAGCAGGAAGUAAAUUAGAGUAAGAAAAAUGGAUAAUAGAACAAAUUCCUAGGGGAACUAGGUACCAUCCCAUCCCUGAAAAUAAUAAAAAAACCAACAACCUUAAAUAAGAUGUUAGUAGGAAUAAUGGCGUGAAUAAGGUCAAACUGGACAACCAAACUGGUAUCUAUGAUUCUAUGUAGUAUAAAAAAGAGGGGGGAAUUCAAAGUCCAAAUACCUGAGAAAUGAUGCGCUCCCCAUCUCGAUACACCUUCUCCCCUAUUACAUCAACUAUCUUCAUUCGCUCUGAAACCUGGAACAGAGAGAAAAUUUCCAUUCAGCCUACAACUGCCCCUGACGAAUUAGGACCUGAAACCAUGUGAAGCUUUUCCUAUUUUUGUGUACUAUAUUAAAAAGAAUGCUUGCUAUGCUCUUUGAGAUCAGCAUGCCAUACAAUUUACAGUGAGCAUCUGGGAGUUUCUGCUUUUUCUAGUGUCAUAGAUAGGGAACCAUAUUCAACAGUGGAUUAAAUGAAGAUUGACUAUU